ACCAUCAUUGUCUCUUCAUCGUUCUACAAAACGUUAUAAUAUCGUAGUUCUAUUGUAAAUAUAACCGUGACCAUUAUGUACCUCUUUUCAGUGAUUGCACAUGCUUAAAGACCAGCGGACAUUAAUGAUCCAAAUCUUUUCUCGUGUUAUAUUGUUCAGCCAAUAUUCAUGUGCAUUAUAAAUUCUCGUUAAUUUAAUUAUAUUGAAAAAAUGAUAAAAUCCGAAAAUCCUUAAAUAUCAAUAUCGUCGUUCGUGAAGUGCAAAGAUCCACUUUAUAUUACAAAUAUAUAAUUGAAAAGCGCACAAGAAAACUUUUUAAUAUGAGAAGUUUACGGAAAUUCACAAACUAUAGUAGAUGGUAGUUUGAUCGGACUAAUCGGACAUUUAUUUUACAUUAUUAUUAAAUAAUGUAAAUGAUGUUUGAAUAAGUCUUUAAAAAAAAAGAAAAGAGAAAAAUCAUUCUCCAAAAACAGAUCGUACGAAUUUCUCUAAAAACAGAACAGCGAAUAAUCUGAGAACUUAAAGUACCAUUACUAAUAUAUAACGCAUAGAUUAAAAGGGAUAACAAGAAAAAAAAAACGAGAAGAAUGACGUUGAUAGGUUCAUUUAAUGUAUACAAGUGAAGUAACAAACGGAAGUGAAAAGUAAUCCUGAAUUCGUUGCAAAGUGACGAUGUAAAUAUAUGCAAACGACCACCUGAAAUAUGAUGGACAUUGAUAUUGAGGAUGAUCUUUAAAUUAGUUUUUUAAAUGAUCCUCCAAUUGAGGAUCUUCUGAUUCUCCAAAUGAUGAACUUCCAAGCAGUAUACUAAAAUACGGAGGGCAUUUUACUCAACUUUAGAAAAUUCAUUUAGAAAAUUUUGAUGAAAUUUCUUCAUCGAAUGUAUCUUCUGAGAAAACUUAUCAACGAUCAAAUUUAUAUGCUUUGCCUAUUCUUCAGCUAGUACAAUUUAUUCUCGUUGGAGGAGGAGAAUUUUUUUCGGUCGAAUGAUCAUCCUAUCCUUCCUAAGAAUGAGAACCAACAAUUACUUAGAUUCAACAGAACCAACGAAUUUCUAUUAGGAAAUGUUCUAUAUGGAAAAUCAAUACAGAUAGGAGUAUUGUAUACUAUCUUCUAUAAUAUUUAAACCGUUAAUCAAUUGACUGCAAUAUUAACCAUGACAAGCGUCAUAUUAAUAGGUGAAGGGUGGAUAACCGCUAUUAAAACGAAAAUAAGAUUCUUCGAAGAGAAUCAUCGAGAAGGAAUCGUUGUUUUCUGCAUUGCGUUUAUCGAUUCGACGUUCGACGUUCUAAUUUCUUCUUGAUUAUUCUCUAGUGUCGAUCUUUUUCUUGAUUCACGUUUUGUGCAAUACUGUGAUCAGCAAUAUAUUUGUUGAAUCCUGGACAUUCGAUAUCAUUAACGUUAAAUGAGUAUAUUUUCUUAAAUGUAAUUUGAGUGAUAAUAUUGCAUUAUAUAGUAAGUGAGCUAAAUUAUACUGUUGAAUAUUUAGUGAAAUUUUGAAUGGCUAUUUAACAUUGUAUUGUUUACGUGAAAAUAAAAACAUUCGUCAUAUUAAAA